UCUGCAACGCACUUGUGAUGCUUCUGGCUUUGCAGACGUCUAAAAACUAUGCUAAUCGCUUACCAUCAGGUGAGCCGUACGCUUUUUUGCCGAACUAGUGACA